UACGUAGGGCGCAAGCGUUGUCCGGAAUUAUUGGGCGUAAAGAGCUCGUAGGCGGCCUGUUGCGUCCGCUGUGAAAUCCCGGGGCUCAACCCCGGGCCUGCAGUGGAUACGGGCUGGCUAGAGGCAGGCAGGGGAGAACGGAAUUCCUGGUGUAGCGGUGAAAUGCGUAGAUAUCAGGAGGAACACCGGUGGCGAAGGCGGCUACCUGGACAGAAACUGACGCUGAGGCGCGAAAGCUAGGGGAGCAAACAGG
rnacentral:rRNA from 1 species